UGGUUCGUAGUUUAGACGGUAGAAUGCUUGCCUUGCACGCAAGAGAAUCGGGUUCGAUUCCCGACGAAUCCA
rnacentral:tRNA from 1 species